UACGGGGGGGGGCAAGCGUUGUUCGGAAUUACUGGGCGUAAAGGGCUCGUAGGUGGCCAACUAAGUCAGACGUGAAAUCCCUCGGCUUAACCGGGGAACUGCGUCUGAUACUGGAUGGCUAGAGUUUGGGAGAGGGAUGCGGAAUUCCAGGUGUAGCGGUGAAAUGCGUAGAUAUCUGGAGGAACACCGGUGGCGAAGGCGGCAUCCUGGACCAACACUGAACGGCUGAGGAGCGAAAAGCCAGGGGAGCAAACGGG
rnacentral:rRNA from 1 species